rnacentral:rRNA from 2 species
AGACCCGAAACCCGGUGAUCUAGCCAUGGGCAGGUUGAAGGUUGGGUAACACUAACUGGAGGACCGAACCGACUAAUGUUGAAAAAUUAGCGGAUGACCUGUGGCUGGGGGUGAAAGGCCAAUCAAACCGGGAGAUAGCUGGUUCUCCCCGAAAGCUAUUUAGGUAGCGCCUCGUGAAUUCAUCUCCGGGGGUAGAGCACUGUUUCGGCUAGGGGGCCAUCCCGGCUUACCAACCCGAUGCAAACUGCGAAUACCGGAGAAUGUUAUCACGGGAGACACACGGCGGGUGCUAACGUCCGUCGUGAAGAGGGAAACAACCCAGACCGCCAGCUAAGGUCCCAAAGUCAUGGUUAAGUGGGAAACGAUGUGGGAAGGCCCAGACAGCCAGGAUGUUGGCUUAGAAGCAGCCAUCAUUUAAAGAAAGCGUAAUAGCUCACUGGUCGAGUCGGCCUGCGCGGAAGAUGUAACGGGGCUAAACCAUGCACCGAAGCUGCGGCAGCGAACGUAUCACCCAAGACAACUUUACGGAGUUGACGAUUGACGGAGCGAAGCGACGUCAAAGCGUUCAUUAAAGUCGAGUUGGCUUAGGGAUACGUUCGUUGGGUAGGGGAGCGUUCUGUAAGCCUGUGAAGGUGUGUCGUGAGGCAUGCUGGAGGUAUCAGAAGUGCGAAUGCUGACAUAAGUAACGAUAAAGCGGGUGAAAAGCCCGCUCGCCGGAAGACCAAGGGUUCCUGUCCAACGUUAAUCGGGGCAGGGUGAGUCGACCCCUAAGGCGAGGCCGAAAGGCGUAGUCGAUGGGAAACGGGUUAAUAUUCCCGUACUUGGUGUUACUGCGAAGGGGGGACGGAGAAGGCUAUGUUGGCCGGGCGACGGUUGUCCCGGU